AGAGUCUGUUCAGCAGGAAGUUGGCACCGGAUUUCUGCCCACCCUCCCGUUACACCGGUAAGCACACGUGAGCUCAUGAGUGAUGUCACUAAAUAUUCAAAUAUUUUAUUAAUUUAUGAAUGAAUCAUUGUUAUUUCAGGAGAGCUCAUCGGGAUGCAGCAUCUCUUCAGGCAGACUGGCCAGGCACUGCAAGAUAUGCACCCGGAUUCAGUGGAGACGGCUCAGCAAAUCGAAGAGCAUGAUGUGGUGGACAGCGUGGAGGAAGAUGAGGGUUUCUCUGACCUCCCGGAAGAUCCAACAGUAGUCCUUGAGCCCUCUCUAGCUCCUACUGCCACUGUGACCACAUCAGUUGUCUCAUCCCCGGCACCCUGGACACCCACCAUCACCAUCACAGCUCCCAAGCCUUCCACACCGGUAGCUCCAAGCGCCACAGCACCCAGGUCAUCAGUGGCUGCCAACCCAUCUGCGCUGCAUACCAGCACUCCAGCUACUACAUCUGUAGCUGCAGCUGAAGAUGUGGUUGUUGAUGACAAAUACAAGCCUGGGUACCAGCACGUGGACAGCCUUGGCGAGUACCUGGUGGAGCUUCGGGAGCAGACAGCCCUCUUUUUAAACCGGCAGCAGACCGACACCAUCAUCUCCCUGUGGCAGAACCUGCAGGACUACGACAAACAGCAGGUGGUUUAUGCUGCACGGCACCAGGGCAGACUGUUGAGCGGCCGAUUUAGAACACCAAAGAAGCCCUCAACAACCCCUGGUGUGGAGAGCACCACUCGCUGUACGCUGGGGGCAAGUAGCGUUCCUGCUCAGUGGCCUGACUGCUGCCGGCUGGUUGAGAACAUUUUCAUGCGGUUGUGCAACCUGCAUCCAAGCCCCUUGAAACGUGGCAGGAAGACUGAUUUGAGGUGGUCUUUAAUUCUUAGGGACUACCAUCGAAUCAGACAGCUUGUCACUGGCAAUGCGCUUGUGAUGCAGGAUACAGACAUUCAACUGGUUGAGGUGAACCAGAACACCCUCAUCCAGUGGCACAACCAGAGGCAAAAAGGACUGGAGCUCUCCGUGAGGCUGCAGGGCACUGUCCUGCCUACAGCCCUCCCAGUGUCCGCACAGCCUCUUCAGGAGGCAAGAGUGCUCCCUGCGGAGCCCAUGCAAGCACGGGAGGAGCUCCAGUACCAGCUGCCUCACAGUAUGGCAGGCCAGGCACAGCAAAGAGCAAAAAGGAAGCUCUUUGCUAUAGCCCCAGCACCAGCACCAGCACCUUUUGUGGUACCUCAGCUUUCACCAGCUGGGGUGCUUCAAUGGGUACCGUGACCUUUAUGCAGGGUCGUCCCCUCAUCACCCCAGGUUCUGCCACUCUUCCCCAGCUUCCAUCAGCAAAGAGGGCAAAGAGGCCGUAUAAGCGUACGGUCAGCGGAAAUAAGUGCAAAAAAUGUGGCGAUUUCCGCAGCGCUGAAACCGGCCACAGUCAGUACCAGGGCAAAGUGCUCUGUCCGAGUACAGAACACUUGUCGAAGGAGCAGCGGCUGGAAGAAGCAAAAAAAAAACAACCAUCAAAAUAAUUUGUAAAUAGUCGUAUGGGAAUAAUUUUUGUUGUAAAUACUUAAAUAUUUUUAUAUAAGAGUUGUUUUUCUGUUAAUAGAUAUUGGUUUGUUAAUUUUUUUUUACCAAAGUAUUUCUAUUUUCCCAUGUUUCCAAGGUCACCGGUUCAAAUCCCUCCUGCGGUCAUCCAAAAAACUAAAACAAAUAUUAAAAAUACUUAUUUCUCAUCAGACAGCCAAGAAUAUAUAAAUAUGGGCACAAAGGCCCCCUUUCUCUCUUCUUCCUCAUCAAUUUUGGACUAUUGUUCCCCAGCUUGGCUCUUAGGCUCUGACUGGUUGGCCACCCUGGGUCUCGUGAAUUGGUAGUGAACUGGAAGAUCACCAGGUGUGAAGGCUUAUCACCCCAGAGCUGGUGACUGAGCCAGGGUGUAAACCCAAUCUUGCUAAAAGGCACCCCACGCAAUCCUGUUAAUGGAGAGAGUGGUUGGAGAUGGAUUGU
ensembl:lncRNA